UGAGAAUAAGCUCCGUUGUCGACGGUCGAUGGCGGCGAACCGUUGAUGGCGGCGAACCGUUGAUGGCGGCGAACCGUUGAUGGCGGCGAACCGUUGAUGGCGGCGGACGAUGGAUGCACUUGGCAGUGAACGACGGAAAGGUUGGAGGCAACUUCAGAUUUCAGUGAUUUUGAUUUUAAGGAAUUAGGGAUUUCAUUUAAGGACGUGACCUGAUCAGGACUAGCGAAUCAAAGAGAGGCGAGCUGCAGAAACAUGUGCAGCUCGGGAUCUGCAGCAGAUCAGCAGAACAUGAAGCGGGCCGCAGAAUGAACCAACGACGUGUGUCAAACCUAUGUUUCUUGAUUAACGUUCCUUGAGCUCCGUCUGUCGUGGACGGUGACCGGCGAGAGGAGGUGGUGCCUCUGGCGGGAGGUGAGCAGCAGCCUAAUGGAGUACGGAGGCGACGGCGGUGUGGAAAUCAGUGAGAGAAUAGGAAUGGCUGAAUGGUUCAUCAAUAAGCAAACACACGAUUUAGGAAUUCACUCGUGGGUUGUAUAUUUGGCUCCACA
rnacentral:lncRNA from 1 species